AUUAGGGGAAGGUCUUGGGAUAGGUGCUUCCUCUUCCGUACACGCUUUAAAGCACUAUAAAAUGGGGCCAAAACCGGCCUACAGUAGCAGCAACUCGUCUUUCAACCUGACAACCAAAGGGAAACAAAACACCAAAAACAAAACUGACUUUAAACUUAGUAGAGGUUAAGCAAUAUCGAAAUGAAUAAGAUGGUCUAUCUCGGAUGUUUGGCUCUUGCCUCUUGUAUCGGUAUGGCUCUGGGUUAUGGAAGUGUUAUGACAGGGCACAAACAGUUCGCAGCAUACCCUAGCAUGGGUUAUGGGUAUGUUCCCUAUAUGGCGGGAUCUUCAGGCUUCGGAGGUUUUCUAGGUGGCGCCGGAGGCUCGACUGGUGGUAUGGGAGGAAUUUUUGGAAACCUAAUACAAUUGUUCCUGUUUAUCUUUGUCAUCAACAUCUUGUUCUCGAGUACCGGUCUGGGCUCUGGUGGUCUCAACAUCGGCAAGAAAUCCUCACAUGCGGCCUCUGACUUCUAUUAAAUAUCGUAACAGGCAAAAAUGACGAGAAUUCAAUUCCUCAAAAAGAGCAAAUGCUACCACCAAAUACGAAGUCAACAGAGAUCUGAAAUGAUAUUUCUUAAUUGAAAAAAAAAAUAAAAAUAGUAAAACAUUA